GAGGCCCCUGCAGCAGCAGCGGCGUGGUCAGAGCGAGCUUCGGAGAAGCAGUGGUGGGUUCCAUGUGAUGGUGGAGUAGGAGGCAGGUCUCCGCGGUUCAUCUGUGUUGCUCUAAAUGACACUGUUUCAUUAUUUUGAUGGCUGGAGAAUAUUUCCUAGUGUAUGUAUAUGAGAGUUUCUUGAUCUCUUUAUCUGUGGAUGAACAGCUACUUUGAAACAUAUGGUACAUUUGUGUUAAGGCUAGUCACCCUGCUGUGGAAUAGAAGGCCAGAAUUGAUCAGUCUCAUCUGAGAGUAACUUUGUACCCAUCACUGAUUCCUUCUGAGACUGCCUCCACUUCCCCAGCAGCCUCUGGUUUCUUCAUGUGGCUGCAGAUGGCAGGAUUUCCCAAAGGUUUCUGGCUGAAACAUAUUCCGUGGUGUAUCUGUACAGCAGUUUCCUCAUCCCUGCAGCUGUGUUUGAACAGGUCAUUUACCAUGCUGUCCUCCAGGUUCAACAGUAUGGCUCCAAAGGAUGAAAUUUCAUUCUGAUUUUCUGGCUGAAGACUAUUCUCUUUGUGUAUGUCCACCACAGUUACUUUAUCCCUUCAUCUGUGGAUGGGCAGUCUCGCUGUAUUGCCCAGGCUGGAGUGCAGUGGCAUGAUCUCAGCUCACUGCAAGCUCUGCUUCCUGGGUUCACGCCAUUCUCCUGCCUCAGCCUCCUGAGUAGCUGGGAUUACAGGCACCCGCCACCACGCCCAGGAAAGAAAAAAGAAGAAAACAAACCUCCAUACGAGAAUGGGUCUAAAGGAACUUCCCAAACCUCCAUGAUUUUGCAGGAAACAAGAUAAAGGUAUUAAGCAUCAGUUGUCGAUUCAUUCAUUUCACACAUUUCACUAGUGACACUGAAUACUGCA
rnacentral:lncRNA from 1 species